UCAUCAAAAAAAAUCUACAAACAAUAAAUGCUGGAGAGGGUAUGGAAAAAAGGGAGCCCUCUUGCACUAUUAGUGGGAACGUAAAUUGAUACAGCCAUUAUGGAAGAUAGUAUAGAGAUUUCUUUAAAAACUAGGAAUAAAACCACCAUAUGACCCAGCAAUCCCACUCCUAGGCAUAUAUCCUGAGGAAACCAAAAUUGAA